AUUGAACGCUGGCGGCAGGCCUAACACAUGCAAGUCGAGCGAGCGGCGGACGGGUGAGUAAUGUCUGGGAAACUGCCUGAUGGAGGGGGCUAACUACUGGAAACGGUAGCUAAUACCGCAUACCAUCAGAUGUGCCCAGAUGGGAUUAGCUAGUCGGUGGGGUAACGGCUCACCUAGGCGACGAUCCCUAGCUGGUCUGAGAGGAUGACCAGCCGCACUGGAACAGAGACAGGGUCAAGACUCCGACGGGAGGCAGCAGUGGGGAAUAUUGCACAAUGGGGGCAAGCCUGAUGCAGCCAUGACGAGUGUGUGAAGAAGGCCUUCGGGUUGUAAAGCACUUUCAGCGGGGAGGCGUUACCCGCAGAGGAAGCACCGGCUAACUCCGUGCCAGCAGCCGCGGUAAUAC
rnacentral:rRNA from 1 species